rnacentral:rRNA from 1 species
UACGGAGGGUGCAAGCGUUAUCCGGAUUCACUGGGUUUAAAGGGUGCGUAGGUGGUCUAUUAAGUCAGCGGUGAAAGCCUGGAGCUCAACUCCAGAAUUGCCAUUGAUACUGACGGACUUGAAUCAAGUUGAGGUGGAUGGAAUAUUACAUGUAGCGGUGAAAUGCUUAGAUAUGUAAUAGAACACCGAUUGCGAAGGCAGUUCACUAAGCUUGCAUUGACACUGAGGCACGAAAGCGUGGGGAUCAAACAGG